UACGAAGGGGGGCUAGCGUUGCUCGGAAUUACUGGGCGUAAAGGGCGCGUAGGCGGACAGUUUAGUCAGAGGUAAAAGCCCAGGGCUCAACCUUGGAACUGCCUUUGAUACUGACUGUCUUGAGUUCGGGAGAGGUGAGUGGAAUGCCGAGUGUAGAGGUGAAAUUCGUAGAUAUUCGGCGGAACACCAGUGGCGAAGGCGGCUCACUGGCCCGGUACUGACGCUGAGGUGCGAAAGCGUGGGGAGCAAACAGGG
rnacentral:rRNA from 1 species